rnacentral:sRNA from 1 species
GCUGGGCUGGUGAUGUAUGCCUGUAAUCCCAGCAGCUUGGGAGGCUGAGACAGGAGGAUCGCUAAUUCAAAGCUAGCCUCGGCAACCACACGGCACUAAGGACCUUAGUGAGACCCUGUCUCUA